rnacentral:misc_RNA from 1 species
GAAAUGCGAUAAGUAGUGUGAAUUGCAGAAUUCAGUGAAUCAUCGAAUCUUUGAACGCACAUUGCGCCCGCCAGCACUCUGGCGGGCAUGCCUGUUCGAGCGUCAUUUCAACCCUCAGAACCCCUUGCGGGAUCUGGCGUUGGGGAUUGGCAUCCAGCCAGCCCCGAAAUCUAGUGGCGGUCCCUCCGCGACCUCCCCUGUGCAGUAGCGAUACCUCGGAGCGGGACAGCGGUCUGACCACGCCGUAAAACCCCCAACUUCUCAAGGUUGACCUCGAAUCAGGUAGGAAUACCCGCUGAACUUAAGC